UCAGUUAAUAUUAGAUAUAUUUUCAGAAUACACAUAAUACAUCGAGUUUAAUCAAGUUAUCAUGUCUUCACGUGACCCUAAUCUAUAUAAUUAUAUAAAGCCGGGACAUAAGUCCGGUGAUGUGGCGUAACACAAAUUGAGGAAUUGCAUUUAUCUUUUUCUCAGAUUUUUGCCUUUCUUACAUUUUUAAAUUGAUCAAACAAUGUUUUAUAUUCCCUUACUAUUCCUAAAAAAAAAAAAAAACUCUGGAAACAUCGCUUUGUUUUACUUUUACCGUUGCUUUGUUUCACUCAUCACACAUGUUUCCUCUGUUCCUCUUUCCCAUAACAAGGCAAAAAAACCUGUUUUGCUUCAUGCAAUACAUUCUGAGAACUCAGGGGAAUUCCACAUUCCUUGAUCCAUAACGCUGGUGGGAUGAGAAUUCCUUCCCAAUUUUUAAGCUUUUCAAGAUUCAGACUCUAACAAUUGCAAAAAAAUUGGGUGUUCAAGAAGUGGGGUAGACGAUGAAGUGAGACCGUGCAGGUUUUUUCCUCCUUUUCCCUAAUAAAACGGAUACUGCUGUUUUUCCCUGAAUUGAUCAAUCCAUAUAUGUUCUUACAAUAUUGAGUUCAUCAAAGGCCAUUUCCCAAAUGCCAUAACAGUAUAGACAUUCAGGAGCGGAGCUACAACCUAUCGAGAAUGAUCAGCCAAACACUCUUCACCAAAUUAUACAGUGUAUACAGACAAGGAAGUUGUGAACCACUGGGCUUGGCCGCUCUUUUUAUGAGGGGAGAGACCAAAAUGACUACGAGAUUAAGUCCCUGCCACAUAAAAAGAAAGUAAAAAAAUGGAAGAUCCAUAGUAAUGGGACUGAGUGGCAAUUUUGAGGCGAGUCAUGACGGAAGCUGAAAAGAAAAAUAAGCUACUUAUAAGGAGUUGAAUACUAUUAAUGAUGUGAGGCCUUUUGAGGAAAAUUGUGCGGGCUUGGCCAAAAGCGGACAAUAUCACAUUAUGUUAAGAGUAUCUUUGAACCGUUUUAGCCCAACAACUGGUAUCAGAGCCAAUGAUUUGACGGGGCGAGUAAGAAGAUGGCGGAAUGUGGUGUGAGGCCCGGCUUAGUGUCUUUGCCUGUCUAUGGGCCGGUUUACAACCUUUACCCAUAGCUUUGAAGACGCAUACACAGCUUUGGGCUUCAGUGACCGUAAAUACUCUGACGAUGUGGGUGACACAUUGACGUUAAAUCUUUGAUCCGUAAUGAGUCAUGUGAAACUUAGUUCGAGGGGGAGAUUGUUGGUGUGCGAACAAGGUACCACAUUGGUAGCUGAAAAGAAAAAGGAGGUACUUAUAAGAAGUUGGAUAAUCUUAAUGAUGUGAUGCCUUUUGAGGAAAAUUGUGUGGGCUUGGCCUAAAGUGGACAAUAUCACAUCAUGUUAAGAGUAUUUUGGACCGUUUUAGCCCAACAAUCAAGACGGUUAGAUAUCCAAUAAGCUAGCUUGUGCCUUCUCCUAGUUAUAUACAUAAAUUCGCUCCUCAUCAUCCAUUCCCGGAGUGUUCCAUUUUAAAACUGGGGAGUGUUUUUUAUGUAGCUUACAAAUUAAAUACACCUUUAAGGAAUGUUGUGAAGUAGUUCACUGUGGUGAAUAGUUGAUUUUCAUUAUAUUAUUGGUCAUUGUAGAGUGAAUAAUGUUUAAAUUAAAUUCAAU